rnacentral:rRNA from 1 species
GGAGUUAGCCGGUGCUUCUUCUGCGAGUAACGUCACAGAUGUAAGGUAUUAACUUACACCCUUUCCUCCUCGCUGAAAGUGCUUUACAACCCGAAGGCCUUCUUCACACACGCGGCAUGGCUGCAUCAGGGUUUCCCCCAUUGUGCAAUAUUCCCCACUGCUGCCUCCCGUAGGAGUCUGGGCCGUGUCUCAGUCCCAGUGUGGCUGAUCAUCCUCUCAGACCAGCUAGGGAUCGUCGCCUAGGUGAGCCUUUACCUCACCUACUAGCUAAUCCCACCUGGGCUUAUCCAUCAGCGCAAGGCCCGAAGGUCCCCUGCUUUCCCCCGUAGGGCGUAUGCGGUAUUAGCAGUCGUUUCCAACUGUUAUCCCCCACAAAUGGGCAAAUUCCCAGGCAUUACUCACCCGUCCGCCGCUCGUCAUCUUCAAAAGCAAGCUUUUGAAAUGUUACCGCUCGACUUGCAUGUGUUAGGCCUGCCGCCAGCGUUCAAUCUGAGCCAGGAUCGAAACUCUGA